GACGAACGCUGGCGGCGUGCCUAAUACAUGCAAGUCGAACGAACUCUGGUAUUGAUUGGUGCUUGCAUCAUGAUUUACAUUUGAGUGAGUGGCGAACUGGUGAGUAACACGUGGGAAACCUGCCCAGAAGCGGGGGAUAACACCUGGAAACAGAUGCUAAUACCGCAUAACAACUUGGACCGCAUGGUCCGAGCUUGAAAGAUGGCUUCGGCUAUCACUUUUGGAUGGUCCCGCGGCGUAUUAGCUAGAUGGUGAGGUAACGGCUCACCAUGGCAAUGAUACGUAGCCGACCUGAGAGGGUAAUCGGCCACAUUGGGACUGAGACACGGCCCAAACUCCUACGGGAGGCAGCAGUAGGGAAUCUUUCACAAUGGACGAAAGUCUGAUGGAGCAACGCCGCGUGAGUGAAGAAGGGUUUCGGCUCGUAAAACUCUGUUGUUAAAGAAGAACAUAUCUGAGAGUAACUGUUCAGGUAUUGACGGUAUUUAACCAGAAAGCCACGGCUAACUACGUGCCAGCAGCCGCGGUAAUACGUAGGUGGCAAGCGUUGUCCGGAUUUAUUGGGCGUAAAGCGAGCGCAGGCGGUUUUUUAAGUCUGAUGUGAAAGCCUUCGGCUCAACCGAAGAAGUGCAUCGGAAACUGGGAAACUUGAGUGCAGAAGAGGACAGUGGAACUCCAUGUGUAGCGGUGAAAUGCGUAGAUAUAUGGAAGAACACCAGUGGCGAAGGCGGCUGUCUGGUCUGUAACUGACGCUGAGGCUCGAAAGUAUGGGUAGCAAACAGGAUUAGAUACCCUGGUAGUCCAUACCGUAAACGAUGAAUGCUAAGUGUUGGAGGGUUUCCGCCCUUCAGUGCUGCAGCUAACGCAUUAAGCAUUCCGCCUGGGGAGUACGGCCGCAAGGCUGAAACUCAAAGGAAUUGACGGGGGCCCGCACAAGCGGUGGAGCAUGUGGUUUAAUUCGAAGCUACGCGAAGAACCUUACCAGGUCUUGACAUACUAUGCAAAUCUAAGAGAUUAGACGUUCCCUUCGGGGACAUGGAUACAGGUGGUGCAUGGUUGUCGUCAGCUCGUGUCGUGAGAUGUUGGGUUAAGUCCCGCAACGAGCGCAACCCUUAUUAUCAGUUGCCAGCAUUAAGUUGGGCACUCUGGUGAGACUGCCGGUGACAAACCGGAGGAAGGUGGGGAUGACGUCAAAUCAUCAUGCCCCUUAUGACCUGGGCUACACACGUGCUACAAUGGAUGGUACAACGAGUUGCGAACUCGCGAGAGUAAGCUAAUCUCUUAAAGCCAUUCUCAGUUCGGAUUGUAGGCUGCAACUCGCCUACAUGAAGUCGGAAUCGCUAGUAAUCGCGGAUCAGCAUGCCGCGGUGAAUACGUUCCCGGGCCUUGUACACACCGCCCGUCACACCAUGAGAGUUUGUAACACCCAAAGUCGGUGGGGUAACCUUUUAGGAACCAGCCGCCUAAGGUGGGACAGAUGAUUAGGGUG
rnacentral:rRNA from 1 species